CUACGGGUCGCAGCAGUGGGGAAUAUUGGACAAUGGGGGGAACCCUGAUCCAGCCAUGCCGCGUGUGUGAAGAAGGCCUUUUGGUUGUAAAGCACUUUAAGCAGUGAAGAAGACUCUUCGGUUAAUACCCGGGGACGAUGACAUUAGCUGCAGAAUAAGCACCGGCGAACUCUGUGCCAGCAGCCGCGGUAAUACAGAGGGUGCAAGCGUUAAGCGGAAUUACUGGGCGUAAAGCGAGCGUAGGUGGCUUGAUAAGUCAGAUGUGAAAUCCCCGGGCUUAACCUGGGAACUGCAUCUGAAACUGUUAGGCUAGAGUAGGUGAGAGGGAAGUAGAAUUUCAGGUGUAGCGGUGAAAUGCGUAGAGAUCUGAAGGAAUACCGAUGGCGAAGGCAGCUUCCUGGCAUCAUACUGACACUGAGGCUCGAAAGCGUGGGUAGCAAACAGGAUUAGAUACCCUAGUAGUC
rnacentral:rRNA from 1 species